ensembl:lncRNA
UGAAAAAAGAAAAGAAAAAAUAAGAACAAAAAAUAUGAAAUAAGAGAAAAAUAAAAAGAAAAAUAAGAAAAAGAGAAAAAAUGAAAAGAAAAAAAGAAAAAAUGAACGAAAAAGAUAAAAUAGAGAAAAGAAAAAAGGAAAUGAACAAAAAAGAGAAAAAAGAGAAAAGAAAAAAAAUGAACAAAAAAGAGAAAAAAGAGAAAAGGUAAAAAAAGAAAAAAGAUAAAAACAAAAGAGAAAAGAAAAAAAGAGAAAAUGGAAAUAAAAAAGAAAAGAGAAAAAUAUGAAAAAAAAAGGAAAAAAGAAAAGAAAAAAAUAAUAGAUGAAAAAAGUAAAAAACAAAAGGAAAAACGAAUAAUGACAAGAAAGGUAAAGAGAAAAGAAGAAAACAGCCAAGUCAAAAAGUAAAGAGAAAAGAAGAAAACAGCCAAGUCAAAAAAAAAAAAAGAAAAGAAAAAAAUAAUAGAUGAAAAAAGAGAAAACGAAAGGAAAAAUGGUUAAUGGCAAGAGAAGAAAGGUAAAGAGAAAAGAAGAAAACAGCCAAGUCAAAAAGUAAAGAAUAACUCGAAGGAAGGAGUGGAUGGCAAGAAAUACAGGGAAAGCAAUGCAUAGCACAGCAAAGCAAAGCAAGGCAAAAUAGCAGCCAAAGCCACGAGAAUCAAGAAGUCAGUGAAGAGCAGGAAAG